CCCAUUUCCUCCCCUUUUCCCCCUUUCCUCCCUCUCCCCUCCCCUCCCCCUCCCCUGAGUGGCCCCAGAAUCCCCCCAGGACGGUGUUUUUGGGGCUCUCAGCCUUCCCCAGCCCCCUCGGCUCCUCCUGUGGAACUUUAGGAUGCUUUUGCCUUUCCCAGGUGUAAAAGUCUCCAUGACCUCUCAGAAAGUGUGCUCCUGCCCCUGCGACCCGGCCUGGAAAAGCUCCAUCACCUCCUGCCCCUCGUCCCAGAGCCUCAGAGACGUCAGGGACCCCGGUGCCUCAGCGAUAAAAGGCCACGAAAAUAGCAAUUCUGCACCACGUCUCUUGGCAGUUGUCGGUGGCACAGACACACCCACAGCUCAGGUCACAACACGGGAAGAGGAGGAGGAGGAGGAGGAAGAGAGAGAAAGACAGAACUAA
rnacentral:lncRNA from 1 species